rnacentral:rRNA from 1 species
GGACUACUGGGGUUUCUAAUCCUGUUUGCUCCCCACGCUUUCGAGCCUCAACGUCAGUAAUCGUCCAGUAAGUCGCCUUCGCCACUGGUGUUCCUCCUAAUAUCUACGCAUUCCACCGCUACACUAGGAAUUCCACUUACCUCUCCGACACUCUAGUCACACAGUUUCCAAUGCAGUCUUGGGGUUGAGCCCCAAGUUUUCACAUCAGACUUGCAUAACCGUCUACGCUCCCUUUACACCCAGUAAAUCCGGAUAACGCUUGCCCCCUACGUAUUACCGCGGCGGCUGGCAC